rnacentral:rRNA from 1 species
ACGGGAGGCAGCAGUGGGGAGUAUUGCACAAUGGGCGCAAGCCUGAUGCAGCGGCGCCGCGUGAGUGAUGAAGUAUUUCGGUAUGUAAAACUCUAUCAGCAGGGAAGAUAAUGACGGUACCUGACUAAGAAGCACCGGCUAAAUACGUGCCAGCAGCCGCGGUAAUACGUAUGGUGCAAGCGUUAUCCGGAUUUACUGGGUGUAAAGGGAGCGUAGGCGGUUUAUUAAGUCUGACGUGAAAGCCCGGGGCUCAACUCCGGUAUUGCAUUGGAAACUGGUAAACUUGAGUGUCGGAGGGGUAAAUGGAAUUCCUAGUGUAGCGGUGAAAUGCGUAGAUAUUAGGAGGAACACCAGUGGCGAAGGCGGCUUACUGGACGAUUACUGACGCUGAGGCUCGAAAGCGUGGGGAGCAAACAGGAUUAGAUACCCUGGUA